rnacentral:rRNA from 1 species
CCUACGGGGAGCAGCAGUCGAGAAUCAUUCACAAUGGGGGAAACCCUGAUGGUGCGACGCCGCGUGGGGGAAUGAAGGUCUUCGGAUUGUAAACCCCUGUCAUGUGGGAGCAAAUUAAAAAGAUAGUACCACAAGAGGAAGAGACGGCUAACUCUGUGCCAGCAGCCGCGGUAAUACAGAGGUCUCAAGCGUUGUUCGGAAUCACUGGGCGUAAAGCGUGCGUAGGCUGUUUCGUAAGUCGUGUGUGAAAGGCGCGGGCUCAACCCGCGGACGGCACAUGAUACUGCGAGACUAGAGUAAGGGAGGGGGAACCGGAAUUCUCGGUGUAGCAGUGAAAUGCGUAGAUAUCGAGAGGAACACUCGUGGCGAAGGCGGGUUCCUGGACAUUAACUGACGCUGAGGCACGAAGGCCAGGGGAGCGAAAGGGAUUAGAUACCCCGGUAGUC